UGAUGACGCGCGGGCGUCGGCAGGCAGCCGGCUCGCGCGAGGAGGCCGAGCGCUUUCCGAACGGCUCUUUCCUAAGACGUCAGCAGCCCGGUGGCAGUUGGUGGAAACGAAAAAACAUCAAUCAGCUUCGGCGCGCGUAGAGCCGUUGGGAGCGGCAGUUGAGGAGCCGCGGCGAGGCUUCGAAGCGCCGUUUCCUCAGAGUUUUUUCCGCUCUUCCAAACUAUGGCGUGACUUUCCAGAGACGACGACGUGUGGCAGCGCCGUCUUCCUGCCCAGUGCAGCAGUUGAAUGCUUCAAAUGACGCUUCAAGCUGUACGGUUUUAAGAUUAUGUUCUCCAAAACAAGGUACGUGAUCCUAUAUACAAGCAACCUUCCUGUGAUACUGAUAAUCCUUAAAAAAAAUUUUUUUCUAUGCUAUCUGCAUCCAAAAUACCCGUAUAUACUCGAGUAUAAGCCAACCCGAAUACAAGCCGAGGCACCUAAUUUUACCACAAAAAACUCGAGUAUAAGCCUAGGGUGGGAAAUGCAGCAGCUACUGGUAAAUUUCAAAAAUAAAAAUAGAUACUAAUAAAAUUACAUUAAUUGAGGCAUCAGUAGGUUAAAUGUUUUUGAAUAUUUAUUUCAAAGAAAAACACUAAACAAAAAUCUUAGCUCAAUCAGCAACCAAGUUAAAACAAAAGAGUUAAAAUCCUUCAGAUCUGGAUUCCUCAUCUGUAUGCCCAAACAGAGCUUCAGCUGUAGCUGGUGUGAGGUUAUAUCAGCAUAGACAUUGUCAUCAUUACUGAGUUCGCAGUCAUCACCAUCACUGCUGUCGUUCUCAUACAAAGCGCUGUCUUCACUGCCAUCCAUAGCAUUCCAGACCUAUAGGUAGGGUAACUGCCCUGCCUGGACCCUCCCUGCUUUCAGUUUCAGAAGCCCACUCUGCAGAUAUAAUAUCAAAGAUGCCUCCUCCAGCCUCUGGCUGUAUGCUUUGAAACCUCCUUGCAUCAGUGUAAGAAACAUGGGUGGGUGGUGCCGUCACAAACAUGCUCCUGAGCCAUUCCAUGCGGCGACUGGCUUGGAACUACUGCCACACCAAAACCAAAAACCAAAAAAAUCAUUUUCGGUUCAUUCCUGGUGGUGAGCUGUAACAUGAGAACCUAUGCCCCUUGAAAAUAGACCAUGGAUUAAAGAGAAUUAAGCUUUUGUUACUGUGGCUGUGGGCGUGUGACCACAGCUUCCCUACAUGGAUCUGCAAACUUCUCUGCCACCCUGUGGGCAGUUUGAGGGAGAGGGAGGGAAAGGCAAUUUUAUUUCUUCUUCCACAGCAGUCAGGAAAGUAUAGCUGUUCUUUUUUUAAAAAGUUAUGGAUGUAAUGAAGAGCAGCAGCAGGCCAGGGAGCCAGUGGUGGAAUUUGGGAUGAAAAUUAGCUUUAGCAGGCCAUGUUGUAAGAUAAAUGUUGGGGGCCUUUUCUUUGCAAUCCCUUGGAUUAUGAAUUUAUUCUGUUGCCCAGCAUAAAAGUAAAGGGACCCCUGACCAUUAGGUCCAGUCGUGACCGACUCUGGGGUUGCGGCGCUCAUCUUGCGUUGUUGGCCGAGGGAGCCGGAGUGCAGCUUCCAGGUCAUGUGGCCAGCAUGACAAAGCCGCUUCUGGCGAACCAGAGUAGCGCACGGAAACGCCGUUUACCUUCCCGCUUGGAGCGGUACCUAUUUAUCUACUUUCACUUUGAUGUGCUUUUGAACUGCUAGGAGCUGGGACUGAGCAACGGGAGCUCACCCUGUCACAGGGAUUCGAACCGCCGACCUUCUGAUCAGCAAGCCCUAGGCUUUGUGGUUUAACCCACAGUGCCACCUGCGUCCCUAUAAAAAUCCCAUACAUAUCCUAUGCCCAGCAUAAGAUUGGGCAAAUGUUUAAAGGAUAUAAUACUGCUUGUACAGAUUUGGUAUGGGUGAAAGAGGCAGACUGUGAUCCACCUAUUAACACCUGCAAGGGCUCAAGCUGCUGAAGAGGUAAGACACACCUUUGCUAGGGGAAAAAACCCACCCAGAUUGUCUCUUUAGCACUGUGAGGGGCUGUAGUAGAAAUUUCAGAGAAGCCUCCACCUUUUAUCCUCACAACAACCCUGUGAGGUAGGGUUGGCUGGGAGACAGUGCCUGGACCAAGGUCACCCAGGGAGAUUCACGGCUGAGUGUGGGGAUUCAAACCCUGGUCUCCCGAGUCAUAGUCCAACACCUCUAACCAUUACACCAUACUGCUUCUCAAUAUUGCCGAUAUUAGAGCUCAAGGACACUUUCCAGCCGGUGAGAGUCACAAGGACAUAGUCAUUGUGAGGUUCACCACCCCGGAGAUGGGAUUUUCUUUGGCUUAGCUUAAGGAUGCUCUUAGAUUUUUCGUCUCCUAAGAGACCUUGUCAUUCUGGCUUCCUGCGAGAGGCAUGGUAAAUUGCAAUAAGGUUUAUCUGUCUUGUUUUGUUUUGUUUUAACUGACGUUUCAGCUGGCAUUAGUGCUGUGGCUGGCGGUAUCUGAUAUAUUGUUGAGAAGGCUCUAACUGCUUCUUCUUGGGUGAGUGUGUUCAAGCAUAGGCAUAGGGUUGCAGCCUGGGGGUGAGGUAAACCAUGAAAUCUUGCUAUCUGUACCAGUUGUGCUGUAAGUUACACAUAAAUGUCAGAAAUAUAUAGUACUUUCAUUUCCAGAUUUAGGUGGCUAAAUGAAGCUAACAUGACAAAUAUCCCUUCUAAAAAUACACUCUGUUGUAUACAAUACCAGUUAGACUAGUCCAGGGGUCCCCAGACUUACCCGCCUACGGGCCGGAGGGUGGGAGAGUGCACGGCAGUGCGCAUGCGCACACCCAUUUACUGGCGCGGUGGGGCGCUUCCAGGCCGGAAAAAUUGUCGAAAAUUGUUUGUGUGCAUGCGUAUGGGCCUCCCCCGACCCGGAAGUGCACCUCCCCCGACCCGGAAGUGCACCGGAAAUGACCUCUUCUGGGUCGGAAGAGGCCCAUACGCAUGCGCAGAAACGAUUUUCGGCGAUUUUUUUCAGAUCUGGAAGCGCGCCGCAAGAGCGCGCAGCGGCAGGCGGGGGUUGCCGCGGGCCAGAUUGGAAGGCCAAUUGGGCCGCAUCCGGCCCGGGGGCCGUAGUCUGGGGACCCCUGGACUAGUCCUAUUGAAAUUCAGGGGCAUGACUAACUUAGGUCCAUUAAUUUCAAAGAGUGUAUUCAGAAUAGAACUUAGUUGGAUACAGUUCACUGAUUUUUGUUUUUGUUUUUUUGCUCUGUGUUUUAAGGCCCACAUUAGAUAAGCUGGCUUCCGAGUUUUGGCAGUGAGUGCCAUUUCUUUUUAAAAGUAAAAUUCAAUGACAUUAGGGUGCCACAUGCGACUUCUACUUUACAGACCCACCAGCAGACCCUUCGAGUGUCUUACCUACUUCAGAACCACCAGAUGUAUAUAUUUUACCCUCUGCUGCACAAGCUGCAAGGCUAUCCCGAGGUGUUGGAGGCCCCAGCUUCGAAUACCAGCUGUCUUUCACAACAUUGUAACAGUCCAUUCGCUUUAUAGGAAAAAGUUGGGAGCCGCCCAAAAUAUAAACCACGUUGUCCCAGAAAACACAGGCUGCAUCCCUCCGCUUUUCAAAGGGACAUCGGAUGUCUGUCCAGCUGUAAUCCUAUAUGAGAAAAGAUAGAAGUUUGGGAGAGAAUACUGCACUGUGUAAAUUCUUCAGAAUUCUGAGAUUAUUUAUUUAUUUGUCCAAUGAAGCUGGAGAGGCAUACAUGGUUCUUCCCCUUUCCAUUUUACCCUCAAAAUUACGUUGCGGGGUAAUUUAGGCUGACAGAUGUGACUCUUAAAGUCAUAGGAACUUUAUAAUGAAGUAAGGACUUCAACUUGCAUCCCCCUAGUCUUAGUCCAACACUCUAACCACUAGGCUGUUAUAAAAAUGGACAGUACCUUAGUACACCACAUUUGUAUGUUGGGAAGUGAUGUGGAGAAGAGCCUGUAAAGCUUUCUGCUAUCUAGCUCCUGGUAUUCCCGAGUGGCCUUUCCCAACCAUCUGCCACUACAAAGAUGAUUUAGAAACCAUUUUGCUCUGACGGGAUUUUUAGUUUUCACAAUUUUUUUCUCCCCUUGUAGCAUGUCUUUGCUGUUUCACUGCAUAGCUUUGAUUGUUUUUAAUGUUUUAUGCAAACCGCUUUAUGAUGUCCACCUGAAAAGUGGUGUACGAUAUCUUAAAUAAGUUUACGGAGCGGUGGAAAACUCGUUUCCAUGUAUUACAGUGUGUUUUGAAAAAACGGGCUUAGAUCUAAUAGGCCCUUGUUACUGUCUUUACCACUGUUUUAUUACAGGUGGAAUCCUGUCUACAGCGGAUACACUGCUCAGACAACAACAUAAUUAUUGAAAACUUCCUUCACACCCGUUUGCAGAUAUUAAUUAUGUUAUUGUGUUAUCUUCACAUCUUCCUUACAUUUGGGGCAUCAACAAUAAUUAACUAGAGAGUAAGGGUGGAGAGGAGGGCAAAAGUAACUGAGAAACUGUUUUGAGAAACUCCUGGCUUUUAUAAUUUGGCUUGAUUUUAAAAUUCAGUAGAUAAAUGGAGUCAAGAAAGAGAACAGAACAAUACAAAAAAGGGUUGAGAAGAAAAUAGCAGAUCUUAAGAAAUAUAAUCAGAUAAAAUAGAACUGGGGAAAACUUGCUGUCAUGACAACAAAGAACCCAUUCUCUAUGCUACAAAUGAUAUAUAAUGUACCUUCAAUUGGUUUGCCUGUAAUAAACUACAGAUGGUGCUGCAAAAAAUACCAGCAGAGUCAUCAGUAGGGUUGAAACAUGUAUACAAACACAGCCAAAUUUGAGCAACUGGGAUAAAUUAAUGGAAAUUAAUGCACAUUCCAAGAACCAGAUAGUUACAAAAAACAGUAAGAUCCUAGCCAUAUCACAGUCAAAGAUAAACACUACAUUAUUUUAAACUGCUUUCUUUUAAACUGCUUUUUAAUUGUAUUUUUUAUUUUUUAAAAAAAUGUUUUUAACUGUUUUGUGGGGUUAUUCAGCUGUUUAUGUUUAUAUUUUGUUUAUGUAUUUUGUGUUUUUAUAUUGUAAUUUUACCUUGUGAACCACCCUGAGACCUGUGGGUAUAGGGCGGUAUAUAAAUUUAAUUAAUAAUAAAAAUAAUAUUGCCUGAGCCAGCAUACUUGUGUAUCACCUGUUGUAUCAAAAACCUCAGGUAUAAAUAAGAUGAUCAUCUAAACAAGAUUCUGUUUAUCUGCACUAUCUCAAUGGGAUGUUCAUGUGCUUUUCUCAAUCUGGGUGCAGUUAGUCACAUGUAUUUAAAACAACUGAUAGAGCAUUUAUCUGCCAAUAUGUUGAAUUGCAGGGAGUAGGGGGGGAAAUGACAUUUAAAAAUAUAGUCAAUAAUCAUUAUAGCUUUCUAGUCCAGCAACACCUUGCACUAGCAGAAGCUGACAGAACAUCUUCAAAAGAUAGCAAGCAUAAGAUGACAAUUCAGUAACUCCCACCCCAAUAGACAUUACUGAGGCACCACAGCAAGGUUUCUGAAAACCAUGAAACAAGUAACCAAUGCUCACUUUUAGGUUAUUCAAAUAAGAGGGGCAUUCACUCCCACAAAGCAUCCUUCUGACAGACUACUCCAUUUGCUGAAAGGAUUAUUGGGCUUGGAGGACAUACUUCCUCCAAGACCAGUUUUCCCCAUUCCCCCUUUUGAAUUUUCACAGGAUCCAAAUUUGUUACUUUAAUAAUGAUCAACUAUUGGGGAUUUAAAUUUGUAAAUGACUAUACAAAAUAGAAAUCUAUUUCUAGCAACAAUGAAAGCCCAUACAUAAGUGUAAGAAGCAUCAAAGUUGCCAUAGAAACCUCAAAAUAGCUCUACAUAAAGUUCCCUGUAUCAUCUUGCUAUCCCUUGUUACAUUGUUGCUUACAACCUGUCCUCCCACGAUUUAACAACAAAACGCUUGUUUUGUGAAAUUUCACAAGUGUAAGAACAAACUAAUUUUAUAUCUAUUCUCAUAUCUUUAUCUGUAGCGAUGAAACUUGUUAUAUAAUGAAAGUGAUGAUGAAUUUUUUGGCUACACACUAUCUGCUCAAAUUCUGAAAGAUCAGAGCUACCUUUGGAUUAAAAUACCGACAUGACUGUGGCUGUGAGCCACCAAACAAGGCAAUGCGGUAAUCGUGCUUUUUUCUUCGCGGGCGAGUGCCAUCCACCAACUCUUCUCUGUCCUCUGGAGAAAGCAGAUGGUAUCUCAUGCCACCUAAACCAGAAGGCACACACAAUGAUUCUAAGUAAUUCUAAGAGAAAUCUAUGUUUCCAAAGCAAGGAUGGACAAAAAUUAAAG